GUUUUGGUAGGGAAACAUGUACUACUUUUGCUCUUGUUUUUCCAACACGCAAUUGCAUGUGGCCGUUUCGAUAAUGCUUUUAGCUCUCCACAGCCACAAGCGAGCUUUUAGUUACAAGUCUGGAUAUCUUUUAUCCUAAAACAUAGAAACUGAAUUCAGAUGGAGAAGCACCAGUUUUACAAGUUCCUUGUCUGGACAUCUGUUGCAUUUUCCUCUCUUCAUUGCGGUACUCAUUCACAUCACUCUGUUUCUUUUGAGUUCAAACACUCCAAUCUUAAGAUUUUGGCCUCUCUUUCUCUCUUAUUCAACCGAACUGAUGUUUUAAUGUUUUAGGACUGGGAAUAAAGUGUGCAAGCAAUGGUCCAACGAUCCAGCAGACUCAAGUGGGCUAUGGCAAUCCUCCAAAAUAUAUGGUGGAAGUGUACAACAGAUGCCCUAUGUGCCCUGUAAUCAACAUUCACUUGAAAUGUGGAAGCUUUCCUCAAGCGCUUGUCAGUCCAAGGCUUCUUAAAGUAGUAGCUUUCGGUGACUGUGUUGUAAAUGGAGGAUUGCCUUUGGCUCCUCUACAAAAAAUUUUCUUCAAUUACUCCCAUUCCAAGUAUUUAAUGCCUCCAGCUACCUGGUACUUCCAGUGUGAGUGAAAUGAUUUGCCUUCUUUUAUAUCUAUAUAGAUAGCCAUUUCUAUUUUUCUUGGUACCAUUUUCCCUCUUAAUUUCAAUGGUUACUCAAUCCAACUAUUAGUGUGUAUGUGCACUAAAUGCAAUAUAUAUUUUAUAAAUAAAGGUUAUAUUUAUCGCUAAUGUAUAUGUUAAUAUUCAUGAAUAUUUGUGAAUUUAGAAUAAAAAUAAAGUUCAUGAGAUUAAAAAA
rnacentral:misc_RNA from 1 species